rnacentral:lncRNA from 1 species
UCGGUGUGUCCCUGGCGAAGCUUGAGCCUGCUAGCCAGCGGUGCUCUGCGUUCCCGGGGCUGGAGCAGCGGCCCAUAGUGGCUUCCCGGGUUCAUCCCUCGCUGACCCUGCGCCACGGAAGCCCUAGCCCCGGAGGUCGCUGGUAUUUCCUCGCACGCGGACCCUUCUGGGGUGCGUGGGGAACAGGCAGUUUGCUGCCUCGGCCCGGCUGGUCCCUGCAAACCCCAAAGAAUUUCAACAGAGACACUUGCUGGGCUCUCGCUCGGCUUUCAGCCUUGCGCAAACAUUUUGUUUUUGUUUGUGUGGGGUUUUUUUUGCUCUCAGACUCCGUCUGUGCCUAUUUCACACAAAAACGAAGGCCGGAUUAUCAGUGCUGCCAACAUAGGGGAAUGAGGCAAACACUUGGGAGCCCUAAAUUUAAAAUAAAUUAUAAAAUACAAAAAAACCAUGAAAACCUGAUGAAAUGAACAAUAGAAUUCACUUCGAAAGUACCAGGUUUUCCAGGACGCUGUAGGAAAUCUGAUCACUAGUUCAAGGUCUCAGUGCAAUUCUCUUAGGAAACUUAAACCUCGGGCUUUUUUGUAAUGUCUCUUUAUCCUUGCAAAAUUUGUCAUACCUUCCCCGAGUUUAUUAGAGUUAUGCAUUUUAUAUUUUUCUCCUCUAAGGGUCUGCUGAUGAAGUUAAUGAAUAUCUGUGCUAGAUUUAUGGUGAAAGCAUUAUAAUUAAUUUAGUAAAGCAUAAUUUCUACAUCAAAAAAUUAAUUUUAAAUAAAACUAGAACAUGGAAAUGAAAUGUUUCUUCAGACAUUUCUUCAGAAAACAUUUCAUAUUCUAUUUUCUUUAGAGUCAACAUUUUGAUGUCAUUUUAGAAUACUUGAUUCUCAUCUCAACCUUUAAUAUUACACAAUAAUACACAUUAAUUAAGUGCCAUAAUCUAUAUUAAAAUGUCAUUUUCCAUUGUUAUUUACUAGCACCUUACAAAUUGAAACGUAACAUAAUACUUUGUAUCUGAUUAUUAAAAUAUUAGAGUUUUAAAAUCUGUUUGGUAAAGUUUUUAAUUACUAUAUUUUUUUAUACUACAAG